UCUUGAGUUCAAGGAGCCUGUGAUUGUGUAUGCUGGAUUUCAGGGACCAUGCCCUGGAAUUUCAAGCACAAAGGUGUAGAAAAGGGGGUUACAUCUCCAGGGAACAGCCUUGGAGCACGUCUGAGAAAACUGGGAAGUGAGUCCAGGUCUCCCAAGUCGACUGUUUUACCUGUGAGUGCUUUCCAUGGAUGUCAAGAGGCAGAAACUGGACUUGAAUUGAGAUCUUCUCACUGGAAAACCCACAGCAGAAUCACCAUGUUAUGUUGCCUACGUCGUUAAUGAAAGAGUGAAUGAGAACGCAUUCACCAUCCUGCACAAUGUUUUAUGACCUUCUUGGUAUUAAUGUUCUAAAAAACAGGGGCAAAUGUUGAAAUCUCAGAGAUGAAAAUGAACGGCGUGUUUCUGAAUAUACUUAACAUGCUACAUUCUAGAGAUGUUUAAUAACUUAUUCUAUCACGGGGCAUGAUUAGCACUAGGCAGAAUUUCUCAUCCAUGAAUUUGUAGAUUAAGAAAUAUUAAUAAGGAAAUCUGCAUGAUAAAUAGCAUGAUGUGAAAUACUCAGUUUAUCAUCAAUCAUUAAGUAUUCACAAUGUAUGAGAAGCAUCCAUCAUUCAGCCAAAAGAAGCUCCCACAAAUACCUGCUCACGAACACAGCAAUCCCUAAUACUAGAUAUGCUUAAUUCUCUAUCACAAGAGACAAUAAACAGUCCAUGGGAAAGACCAAGGGGACGAUCUCACAGCACGAUUUUUUCACUGAUUACACAUCAGAAAGCUGUAAGGGACUAUGAUUUAUGUAGGAAGCAUAACAAAUAAUUAAGUCAUUUAAAAUCAUCAUCUAUAUACAGGAAUUAAAAAUUACACACAAAUUAAUAUACAUGAAGAAAAUACUGGAAAUAGCCUUCCCUAUGAUACGAUACUAUUAGCAGUAUAGUAUUGAAGUGAAUUUUGCUCUCUGUUUCUCA
rnacentral:lncRNA from 1 species